GAUCAUGGCUCAGGAUGAACGCUAGCGGCAGGCUAACACAUGCAAGUCGAGGGGCAACGCGAGUAGCAAUACUUGGCGGCGACCGGCGCAAGGGUGCGUAACGCGUGAGCAACAUGCCCGUAUCAGGGGGAUAAUCCAGGGAAACUUGGUCUAAUACCCCAUAGUAAUUUUGUAAGGCAUCUUAUAAGAUUUAAAGCUUUGGUGGAUACGGAUUGGCUCGCGUGACAUUAGCUGGAUGGUAAGGUAACGGCUUACCAUGGCUAUGAUGUCUAGGGGUUCUGAGAGGAAGGUCCCCCACACUGGAACUGAGACACGGUCCAGACUCCUACGGGAGGCAGCAGUGAGGAAUAUUGGACAAUGGAUGGAAAUCUGAUCCAGCCAUGCCGCGUGAAGGAAGAAGGUCCUAUGGAUUGUAAACUUCUUUUGUAUGGGAGCAAUAAGGCCUACGAGUAGGUUGAUGAGAGUACCAUACGAAUAAGCACCGGCUAACUCCGUGCCAGCCGCCGC
rnacentral:rRNA from 1 species